rnacentral:rRNA from 1 species
CCUACGGGAGGCAGCAGUGGGGAAUAUUGCGCAAUGGGCGAAAGCCUGACGCAGCCAUGCCGCGUGAGUGAUGAAGGCCCUCGGGUCGUAAAGCUCUGUCGGGAGGGGCGAAGGGUGGCAACACUCUGACGGUACCUCGCAAGAAAGCACCGGCUAACUCCGUGCCAGCAGCCGCGGUAAUACGGAGGGUGCAAGCGUUGCUCGGAUUUACUGGGCGUAAAGCGACCGCAGGCGGUCGAUUAAGUUUGACGUGAAAGCCCCGGGCUCAACUCGGGAAGUGCGUCAAAAACUGGUCGACUUGAGUACGGGAGAGGAGAGUGGAAUUCCUGGUGUAGAGGUGAAAUUCGUAGAUAUCAGGAGGAACACCGGCGGCGAAGGCGGCUCUCUGGCCCGAUACUGACGCUCAUGGUCGAAAGCGUGGGGAGCAAACAGGAUUAGAUACCCUGGUAGUCCACGCUGUAAACGAUGAGUGCUCGCUGAUGGAGGUCUAUACCCUUUCAUUGGCAAAGCUAACGCAUUAAGCACUCCGCCUGGGGAAUACGGUCGCAAGACUAAAACUCAAAGGAAUUGACGG